AUGACGUUGUCCACCAUAGACAACGUUGAUGGCAUACCACUGUAUAAUUUGCCUAUAAUGAAGAAAUAUGAGAGAUGGUUUGGUCGAAUAAUGUGUAGGAAUUUAACUUUCUCAGGUGAUCAAGAGAGUUGGAAUCUGCUUAUCCAUAUAACCGAUCAUCUGAACAAAAGAGGGAGGGUGCUGGUUUGCGGAGGCAUUUAA